AGAGUUCCAUGGGAAAGAGUCCAAAAGGAGAAAGUCUGAUGGGUGAAAGAUUAUACAAAUCACCAUUGAUAUAGAUUCUAAUUCUAUAUAUGUGUGGGUCUGUUUUUGAGCUAUUUCAUCAAUUUAUAUACAUCUACACUAAAAUCAUGCUGCCUUAAUUAUUAGAGAUUACUAAUAAGUUCUGAAUAGCAUACGUCAGAACUC